rnacentral:rRNA from 1 species
AACGAACGCUGGCGGCAUGCCUAACACAUGCAAGUCGAACGAGACCUUCGGGUCUAGUGGCGCACGGGUGCGUAACGCGUGGGAACCUGCCCUUAGGUUCGGAAUAACUCCCCGAAAGGGGUGCUAAUACCGGAUAAUGUCUUCGGACCAAAGAUUUAUCGCCUUUGGAUGGGCCCGCGUUGGAUUAGCUAGUUGGUAGGGUAAAAGCCUACCAAGGCGACGAUCCAUAGCUGGUCUGAGAGGAUGAUCAGCCACACUGGGACUGAGACACGGCCCAGACUCCUACGGGAAGCAGCAGUGGGGAAUAUUGGACAAUGGGCGAAAGCCUGAUCCAGCAAUGCCGCGUGAGUGAUGAAGGCCUUAGGGUUGUAAAGCUCUUUUACCCGGGAUGAUAAUGACGGUACCGGGAGAAUAAGCUCCGGCUAACUCCGUG